UGGCCGUGCCGAGAGUUGAACUCCAGACAUCUGACAUGCGAGGCAAGCGUGUUACCACUACUCCACGGCC
rnacentral:tRNA from 11 species